AAACUGAAAUAGCCACAAUGGUGCAAGGAACUAUUGGCUACUUAGAUCCAGAGUAUAUGCAAACAAGUCAAUUAACUGAAAAAAGUGAUGUCUAUAGCUUUGGAGUAGUUCUUGUAGAGUUGCUAACGGGGGAGAAACCUUUUUGUUUUGGUAGGCCGGAAGAGAGAAGAAGUCUUGCAAUGAAUUUACUAUCUUGAUUGAAAAAAGAUAAUGUGUUUGAAGUUAUUCAAGAUGGUUUGUGGAAUGAAGAAAACAAACAAGAGAUCAAGGAGGUGGCUGUUCUUGCGGCGAAGUGUUUGAGACUUAGAGGGGAAGAAAGACCAAGCAUGAAGGAAGUGGCUAUGGAAUUGGAGGGAAUGAGGUUAAUGAAUAAGCACUCUUGGAUCAAAGAUGACUCAAAUGUAGAGGAGAGUAGGUACUUGCUUCAUGAAUCAUCAUCUAGCAUUUAUGAACCUGGUGAUAGCAUCACACAUGGAGAUAUCGGAUAUGACAGCUUGAAAGACCAUGUACUGAUAGCAUUGGAUGAUGGCAGAUGAUUGUUUUAAGACAAAAUGCAGUAACCAUUUCAUUAUUUUAGGAGUUUUUGCAUACAAAUUUCAGUUUAUAAUUUUAAUUUAAUUUAUUUGUGUGCAUGUAAUCCAGUUUUUAAUGAUUGUAUAAGUGUAGAGACUGAGAUGGAAGUGUUCUAUAAUAAGAAUGUCAAACUUAUGGAAUAUUCCUAAAAAUCCAAUUAUUGGUAUUGUAUAUUGGACGGUUGUAUCGUGUAGUUUUAAUGUUUAUGAGAAUCAUUGAAUGAUCACUACUACAAUAAUGACCUUUAGUAACACUUAAAAUUGUAACUGGAAUAAGAAAAAUGUUACUGAUUGAAUUUAGUAACAUUUGAACAAUUGUUAGGUAAACCCCAUGUUACUGAAGGGCUUUAAUUGCAUUUUAUAGUAUUAUCUGUAACAAUCAAUUGAAGAAACUAUGUCACAUUCAAAGAGAGUAUGUCUACUCAUAUAUAUUUUGAUCUUAUUAUUGGUAAAAAUUAAAUUCCCACAAUGAAUAAAGAUAAAGUCUUAUUAAGAGUGUUACUCCUCACCUUACAAGUUGAAUUUGUAAAGAUGAGUUAAACUCAAUAUAAAAACUUAACAUAGAAUCUGAGUCUAUUGAUCCGGACAUCCACCAUUUAUAUCUAUGCACCAAGUCUAAUAGUGAUGGACGUGAAAGGGUGUAUUGGAAAAAACUGAAACCCCACACUGAAAAGAGAUAAGGCUUGAAAUGAGUUUUUAAAGAGUAGCAUCCAUUUGCUUACAAACUCAUUUUGCAAGGAUGAGUUAUGUCUGAUAUGAAAACCUUAUAGUUAUAAACCACUUUUUUUUUGUGAUGUAAUAUGCUCAACUAUAUGCUUUUUGAACAUAUGUUCUCAGGUUUACACAGGUUUAUUUGAUAAACUGAUACCUUUGGAGUAUAGUAUGUAAAAAAAAUUAAGAUACUGGUACUCUUUCACUUCAGUAUACUCUACUCUCACUUCAAAAUCCUUUGCAUAAGUUAUCUGUUUGGAAUAAAUUUACUUGUGAUUAUUGAUUGAUACAUUUCAUUAAAAAUAAAAGAAGUGACUAUUGAAUAUUAAUGCAUCGAUUUUGUUGUGCCCCCUUUGAAUGUGUGUAUUGAGAAGUAAUUUCUGUUAGUUUCAGUUUCAAGAAGGAAAGGUCUAUACUUUUACUUCCUGCUUCUUGUAGAAGAUCAUCAAUACUUUGGAGUUGUGUGUACAAGUAAGAUUGAAUUUAGAAGAAUGCAUGUAAAAUGGUGUAUGAUCUUGUGUUGUUGAAUUUCCUAUGCCAAAUGGAUAUGGAAUGUUUAUAUCUCCACAAGUAUAGUUGCAGCCAGGUAGGACUUGUUGGGAUUGAUUUGCUGCAACUGUUUCUAUCAAAAGUGCUAAUGAAACCAUUAUUAAUGGGGAACUUCUACGGUGCACCUCACAAAUUGAGGUGUACCGGUACUCCUGCUUCAAAUACUUACAAUUUAACGAUUAUUUUAUGAAAUAAAGAGUUAUUUAUCAAUAUUUAUAUUUUAUAAGACAUCGUUUUAUAAGAAUAAACAUCAUUUCAUUGUUUAUAAGAAUCAUAUUAAAUUUUUAACAUUUUCUCAUAAAAAAUAAUAAAUAUUCUUUGUUAUAUGUAAAAAAAUUCAAAAAAUGUAAAUUUUAUUUCGUCGACACUUUCGGUAACUAAGAUCUAAUUAUUGUAAUUGUUAAUGAUAGAAAACGAUUAUUUUUCUUCGAAAAAAACAACUUGUACCAUAGAAUUUGCCUUAUUAAUGGAUGCAUUGCCUUUUUAGUUUCUUGUGGCAUAAGGGAGUUUCGGUUAUUUACAGAUAACGGAUCGGUCAUGUAAUCAAACCGGACUGAACCAGCGUGACUCGGUCAAACUCGGGAAAAACUGGUGAACCGGACCGGUUUGAAGUAAAGCAGAAAUUAAUUGAAUUAAUUAAGCCAAAAAACCGGUUUGAAGUAAAGCAGAAAUUAAUUGAAUUAAUUAAGCCAAAAAAUGGCAGCACUGGGUGUUGAACCCACAUCCCCCAACAUGCAAGGCAAUCACUUAUACACUGCAACAUGAACCUCUUUUGCUUUAAAAUUACUUCUUAUUAUUUAUAUAUAAUAACUGAACAGUUUUUUUAGGGGGACGAAGUACACUCUAUUUUUUUUAAGUAACCAAGCACACUCUUAUCAUUUAACUAUGAGCAAAUUACACUCCCCUCCCCUCAAAGAUGCUUGAAUUACACUCCCCUCCCCUCUUAAGUUAAAACAUACACUCCCCUCCCCUCUUAUUCAAAACAUAUUAGAAAAAAUUUCACUACCCUCCCCUAAAAGAAGCUUGAAUUACAUCCCCCUCCCCUCUUAUGUUAAAAUCUACACUUUACUCCCUCAAUAUUCUUUUUUAUUAUUUCUAAUAAUCUAGCAAAAAAUAAUAAUUUAACACACUUAAAAAAAAAGAGUAUUGCGGGUCUAUUUUAAUAUAAUAAAAAAUUGAAUACAUAUUUUUCGCUAUUUUUUAUUCACAAUUUCAUUAACAUGUAGUUUUAAACUCUAUUAUAAAAUAUGAAACAACCCAAAACAAAAUUAAAAUAUGUGAAAAAUUACUAAAAUCAUUAAAGCAUGAUUAUUUAAAAGUUAAUUUUAUACUGUAAUUUAUAAAAUCAAUAGAAAUAUAUUUAAACUUAAUUAUCAUUGACAUUUAAACUAUAAAGAAAUGAAUGAAUUUUUUUUAAAUGAUGAUUCAAAAUUAAUAUAUAUUAUAAGAAUAUUUAUUUAUGUUCAAAUAGAUUAAAGUGUAGUGCAUAUUUAAUUAUUAAGGGAGGGGUUUGUAAUUCAAGCAUCUUACAAGGAAGGGGAGUAUAAAUUUUAACAUAAAAAAAUAUUGAGGGAGUAAGGUGUAUAUUUUAACUUAAGAGGGGAGGGGAGUGUAAUUCAAGCAUCUUUGAGGGGAGGGAAGUGUAAUUUACUCUAAAUAUUAUUGUUCGACAUCUCAAAUAUUUUAAUAAACAUUUUUUUUGAAAGAAUUUUUUUAUUUUACUAUAUUUAUUUGAAUAUGUAUUACUCUCUUCGUCCAUAUAUUUAAACACCCAUUUGAUUUUAUUUUUUUCGUUAAAUGUAAACAUUUUUUAAAUUACAACACUCAUUAAUUAUUUUAGUUUCUAAAGUGACCGAGUCACCGAUUCAAUCCGAGUUAAUCCGGUUAAAUAACUAUAUAAAUUUAAUCUAAGGACCGAGUUAUCUAACCGAGUCAUUCGAGUGGUUUCGAUUCAGUCAUAGUGGUUCGACCAUUAACCCAUUAACCCAGUACCUCCGCCGAGUCGAUGAUCGAGCCGAGUUUUAAAACUAUGCUGCUAAUUGCUAUUGUUUUUUGUUCUAAACUAGUUGCUAAUUUAAUAAGAGUUGACUUGCAAGUUGCAACGAAAAUUUAUAUUUAGAAGAAACACACACAAAUGGUGAUAAAAAACAAAUGAUUAUAGCUACAUCACAACCUUUUAUAUUAAAUAGAAUAUGGUUGAUGUAGUCGUCAUCCACAAAUGAUUAUGUAAGCAUCUAAAACUUAAUAUACUUAAUUUCAUAUGCAUGAUGUAUUUGUGUUCAAUAAACUUAAUAGAUACCGGAUUACUGGAGGAUUGGUGACAAAUAAUAUCCCUCAGUAAUAUUGGCGUUAGUAAUAUUACUUGCGGAAUUAUCCUUCAGUAAAAAAAGACCCCUAAUAUAAUGCCAAAAUUUAUAUAUGACUGAACUGUCAAUCUCAUUUGUCUUCAAUUAUGUUGUUUUAGUUUGUUGUAUUUUGUUGUUUACUUAUCUUGUUGCAAUUGUUAUGUUUAAUUUAUGCUGUUUAUUGUCGUAGAAUUGGACAUAAUGGCAGUUUUUUCUCUGUUUUUUCGAUUCUAAACACGAUUCAGACUUUAUAAUCUGAAACCAGUCAAAACCCCCAAAUCACAACUUUUAACACAUUCUUUGCAUAUUUCAGAUUAUAUAAUUUGAACCAAUACUAUAUGCGUGUUCAAAUUAUAUAACCUGAAGCAAUCCAUAAUUCGGAUUAUGGCGUUACAAGCAAGGUUUGGAGGGUUUGUGAUUUAUUUUUGACAAGUUUAGUUAAUUUUACGUUUUUCCUUUGAUUGUAGUUACAGUCAAUGAUUGUGGUGUGUGUAUAAAUAGUCUUGCAUCACACCCGUUUAUGAGAUUUUGGUGGCCUACGAGCGAACUUGAUGUUCGGACUCUAAUUUAUAAGCAUAUAAAAAACUUGAAUUCCUAAUUUGUGAAAACAAUUUGUUUGAAAAUGAUAGUUUCUAUUACGUUACGAAAUAAUCUAAUAAAAACAAAUGAUUUUAUACAAAAAAAUAUAUUAUUUAAUAUCCAAAUGUUCAAGACGGUAUUUUUAGAUGUAAAGUUACUAAUAAUUGUGUCUACAUCAAUAGUUCUAUCAUAACUUUUUCAAUAAAUAAAGUUCUAUUGAGAAGUUAUGAUAGAACUAAACCCAAGAAUAUCAUAACUUUCUCAAUUAUACGAUAAAAGGAAAUUUUUCACUAUCAUAUUCAUGUUUUCGUUGCAACAUUAUAGGAUAAAAUAUUGAAACAAAACUAAUAGAAGAAAAGCAUUUGAGUCGUGCUUUCCGAUGAAAUUUCCGUUGUAACCCUUUUUCUUCUUUCUCUUUAAGCAUUCACUUCAACUUUGUAUUUCACUCGUUUGUCUUUCUAUUUUCUUAUACGCUGCUACAAUGUUGUUGCAAAUUAAGGAUUUGAGCUCCCUUUAAAAAUAUCAGGUGAUAAAUUCUAAAUGGGCCAACAAUGAACUAAAGUAUUUAAGUUUUUUUUUUCUACUCAAUGCCCUCCUUUGUUUUACCUUCAUAUCCAUUUUCAUUGCAAUAACUCUCUUCUCUUAUCUUUCUUACUUUUUCUUUGGGGGUUGUUAUGAUAUCAUGGUCAUCGUUGACCAUUCAUACCAUCCACAAACUGUUGUGCGGUUUUUGUGGGGAUGGUAUAAUGGUCAUUAGAGAGUUUUGAUUAUCUAUUUAUGUUUUUUUACAUGAUUCAUUUUAUAUAAUUUGAUGUAGCACAAAUAGGAUUCAAAUUAUAUAAUUUGAACGAGGGCAGUUUAGGAUUUUCGAAGAGUGCGUGAGAAAUGAGUAUGGUGGAAAAUAAUUUAAGAUUUAUAAGGUAGAUUAUUUAUAUGGCCUACUGAAGGAAAAAAAUUAUACUCCUAUCUUGCAAUAUAUGUUAUUCUAGACACACACACAAAAAAAAAAAAAAAAAUAAUCUCAUUUUUAUAUUGAUUUACGGUAUCAAUAAAACAUUUGACAACUCUUUUACUAAUUAAUUUCUCGAAAAAUCACCUAAACCACAAAAUUGAGUUAGAUGAUCCGAUAAAUUCUUUUCAACCGCCGUUGAAACUUCCAGUCAAGAAGAAAUCGCCGACCAAAUUAUACCUUAAAAAUCAUAAUUAACAGAUAAAUGACCCUCUAUCUUCAUUCAAUCUGCAACCUCCCGUAUAAGACUAAUCAAUCAUUGGGAGAUAGCACAUGCCGCCGAAUUAAGUUGUCUCCAGUUAAAACCCGGUUAAGAAGAAAACACCACGAAACAUAGAUACUUUUAAAGGAACAACCUUUAUAACCACAAAAGAUGGUUGUUAAUAAAGUGAUUGUUAUCAUUAGUAACAUGGCCAUCUUCUUCGGUCAACCUGUAAUAGGCCCUUCUCAGUGUAUACCUAUUGGAAGAAUGAAGCUUCCACACCCACUCCAUCAUCAACCUGCAAAACUAAUGUUAAUUUUGUAAACUUAGAGGAAAAUAAUAUAUUUCAAUUGUUCCAAAUUAUAAGUUAUUUUGCCAAUUUCACAUAAAGAAAUAUAAUUAAUUUUAUAUAGUAAAGAAAAAUUAUGAAUUACUUUAUAAAAGUAUCAUUCAUGAGUGGUAUGCGAAAGUGGCGUCAAUAGAAUUGGUGUAAAAAAUUAAUCUAAUUACUAACCAAUUUGAUCCCUCACGAGUGUUUUGUCAAAAAAUCCUAUGUUUUUAUUCAUAUUCAUAUUCUAAAUCCUAUGUUUUUAUUCAUAUUCUAAAACGACUUAAAUAAGUGAUCUAGUUGACUCUAACACAUAUACCAAUGCAUAUGUUUUAUCUUUGAUAUCUUCAAUUCUAUACUAAAAAAAAAUUAUAAAAAUUUAAUAUUUUAAAAAUACUCAUCGAGACGAAUCCAACAACAUCUUACAUGAUACUUAUUUAUUUUUGUGAAUUAGUAGAAAAGUGUGGUCAAAGUAUGUCAAGUCAAUAAUGUAUAUUGUCAACUGGGUCAUUUAUUAAGGGACGGAUGGAGUACAAUUUUAAGUAAAGAUUGAACAAUAUAGUAAGGUUAUUUUAAAUAAAAUGUAUACCAAUUGAUGAUUAUUAAUCAAGAUGAUAGUACUAACAUAUUGAGAUGAGACUAGUUCACCCUCAUCAGCCAUUAGAUUGACAUUAUAUUGUCGUGCACUUUACUUUCUCAAUUAUUGGUCUGAAAAUGAGUGCUGGAGACCAAAACUUACAAAGUCUCUAUCUAUAAUGAAACAAAAUGGAUGAAAUUUACAUCAAUGAUUUCAAAGUCUUCGUCAACCAUGUCCUAUAUAACUUAGCUGUGAUUACUCAUGUUGGUUCAUUUAAAGUAAAAUAUGUUGUUCAUUUAUACAAAAAUCUAAGAAAGCCACGGAUAAGAAAACGAUUAAAAAAAUAAAUAAGCGAGUCAAUUGAAAUAUCAAUAUUUUUUCUCUCAAAAUUGAUGGAUUAAAAUUUAAAACCAAUUUUGCUAAUAAAAUAAAUGUUUUCGAUUCAAUUAAUGGUUCAACUUAAUCUUCUCAAUGUGUCUGUCAAGCAAAAAAUCAUCUUACUAGGAAGAGACAAGAAGCUACGUUGCUAGAAAUUACCCUUUGAGUCACUUUUUUUUUUUGGACCCAUUUAUUAACCGACUAAUAAUGGCAAGUAGAAUAGUGCUGCCUCAAUUGAUCAUAAAUAAAAAUAGGUUAAAUAUAUUUUUAAUCUCUAUAAAAUUAUAAGUUUUCAAGUUUAAUCUCUACAAAAAAAAAUGUUUAUUUUUAGUCUUUAUUUGCAUUUUAUAGGGCUAUUGUGGAGUUUUUAAGACCAACCCAAGUGGGUUGUAAAAUAAGGACUAUUUUUAUAAACUACAAUAUUUUAUAGAACUAAAAUUACCAUAAAAUAUUUAUAAGGACUAAACUUCUUUUUUCUUUUUAUGAAAUGGACUAAAUUUAAAAAUUCAUGAUUUUGUAGGGACUUAAAACAUAUUUAAUCCUAUAAAAAAUUUAUUAAUAAUAUUAAAAUUAAAUAUUAAUCGUUAUUAAAAAUAAUUAAAUUCCCUAAAAAAAUAUAAUUAAAUAUUAAUCGAUCAUGCUAGUAUAUGUCAUUUGAGAGAGAAAAACACCAAAUAGAGAAAGAGAGGAAAACGAGGGAAUGAGAUACGGGAAAAAUCUAAGUUCGUUCUUAUAUAAUCAUUACUGAAUUUGGUCUAAUCAUAUAAAUAACCGAUUUUUUUUUUUUUUGAGAUAAUAUAAAUAACUGAAUUGUUUAUUAUAUAUAAUAUCAUGUAAAUUUGUAGCUUCUGUUGCUUAUUUAUGGUUGGUAUUAAUGUGGCUGCUUUUUAGUUGGUUGAGACGACUUCUAUUUUAAAUUGUAAAUUUAGAUAGAUAAAUUUUCUUUGUUUGUAGCUUCCUAUUGAUGGAGAUUCCCGUAAGUUGAAUUUUUGGCAACCACUCAUGAAAUCUUGAUUGUCGAGUUGAAAGAGUAAACUUAUUUAUUGGUGGUCGAUUGGUUCUUCUGAAGUAUGUUUUGUCCUCUCUCUCGAUCUAUUUUUUUUCCUUCUUCAAGGCUUCCGCAGAUAUCAUCUCUUCUAUCGAAUCUAUUUUUAAUUGUUUUUUCUAAAGAGGGUUUGGGAAAUUAGAAAAAUAUCUUGGAUUAAAUGGGAUAAUGUUUACUCUAAUAAGGACAAAGGAGGUCUGGGGGUUAGGAGGCUAAGAGAAUUCGAUACAGCAUUGUUGGGUAAAUGGUGGUGGAGGUUGAAGGAAAAGUGUGGUAGUUUGUGGUUUAGAGUGUUGGCGGCAAGGUUUAGGAAGGGUAGCCUUUUUGUUUACGCCGACAAUAAGAGGGGUUCAACAUGGUGGUGUACUUUAGUAAGUAAUGGUUGUAGUGUUGGUACAACUGUAGGUAGUUUGCAUUGAUGAUACUUAUAUGUGCAAGGUGGGUGAUGGUAAUUCCUUUUUAUUUUGGUGGGACUCGUGAAUGGAGAAUGUAACUUUAAAAGUUAGGUUCAGACGUCUUUUGAGCUUUAUGUUAACAAGAUGGCAUGGGAGGAGGAUCAGCUGAGGGAAUGUAGUGCUUGUUUGAACUCUAUUAUUUUGCAUGAUGAUGUUACUGACAGGUGGCGGUAGAAUCUUCACACUUCAAAAUCUUACACUUCAAUGAAGAUGCCUUUCAUGUGUUUUGGCAUAAAGAUGUCCCUCUCAAGGUCAAUCUUUUUAUGUGGCACCUCCUUCUUAAUCGAUCACCAACAAACAACAAUUUGGUAAAAAGAGAGGUACUUCCGGAUACUUCUCAACAAUGUGUGGAGGACGUGGUAAUUUAGAGGACGUGGCUCAUCUAUUCUUUCAUUGCGAUUUUUCCAUCAAAUUUGGUUUGUUGUACGAUUGGUAAAACUUUGUCUUGGUUGUGCUGUUUAAUAUUUCAAAUCAUUUAUAUUAAUUUGGUUUCUUCAAAGGCAUUUAUAAAUGUAAGAAAGACAUUAUUCGUUUAAUUUAAUUAUUUUUUUAGCUUGAGUUUUAUGAAAAGAAAGAAAUGCAAGAAUCUUCAAAAAUUAUUUGGGUAUAUUUAUUUUUUAUUUUUUGACAGAAUAUUUGGGUAUAUUUAUUAGUUGAACUAUAUAGAACUUUAGGACAUCUCCAUUGACAUUUUUAAGUGAACCAAUCUCAAGUGCUAUUUUAUUUCUUUUCAAUAAAUUUAAAAUUAAGAAUCACUAACCCUUUUUAAUAGAAUAAAACCAGUUUUCCACCACUUUUUAUUUAUUCAAAGUUCAACUUAAUCGUCUCAUCACACUGUAUACCCGUGACACUUUAAUAAUUCAACUUUAUUGUAAAAAAGGAAAAAGAAAAAAAACCAAUGUUCCUGGAUGUUUACCCAUUGACCGACGACUGCAUCUUUUGUUUUAAUUUUACGAGGAGUGUUAUUUGAAUAACCAAUUUGAUGACAACUUAUUUGACAACCAUAUUUUACAAAGAAAAAAGUGGUAUUGGCACGGAAACCAUAGCAAUAGAGAGACAAAGAAAAAAAUAAUGUGAGUAUGAGAGAGAAAGUUGUUGCAAAAGUUGUCACUAAAUAGAUGUUCAAAUAUCAUUUCUCUAAUUUUAUUUUGUUUCUGAAAUUUGCUUUGAAGUUUUUAAAUAUGAUUUUUUACAUUUUAUUUUCUUGAGGCAUUAAUUAUAUGUAUUUAAAUACAGAUAAAUAUUCCUUAGAAAAAUACAAAUAAAUAACACAGGCAUUAUUUGUCAAAACCAAUAUUACCACCACUACUUGUAAAAACUAAAAUCAAAAACAAAUUUUGGCAUGAAAUCAAAAUUCCUUAAUAUUUGCAUAUAUUUAAGCCUAUAUCAUAAAACCAAAAAUAUGCCAAGUCUUCGUCAAGCAUAACUCAUGGUACUCAAUGUUCCACGAUGUUACCCGUUGACCGACUAUAAUGCCAAGCAUACCUCCAAAACUCUGCUCCAAGUUUUCUUUUAUUCACAACAAUAAAUGAUACUCCUUCAUUUAAAUUGAUAAAGUAUAGGUUUAAUAGCAGUUUUCGCGUUUUAAUUUUCACGAAGUUGCGAUUUUGAUCCUCUAAAAAAAAACUACAAAACCGCCACCUAAGUAUGCAAUUGUAGCAGUUUUGGCCUCCGAAAGCCAAUUUUUGAUUAAAAAUAAUAAUAAUAAAAUAACACGUGGCUCCCCACUUAGGGUGUCACGUCAACGUAGACCAAGUCAAAUUGGUCUUGGGGCCAAAAUUGUCACAAAUGCAAAACUUAGGGGCAGUUUUGUAGUUUUUUUCUUAGGGGGUUAAAGUUGAUAUUAAGCCUAAAGUAUAUCGAUAUAAUAAAAAUUUUAAGUCGUAAAAACGAAAAAAUGAAUCUGCGAACAAACACAUUCAUGUUAAUGACAUAAAACAACAUAGUAUAUAUAUGACUAUAAAUAUGACAAUACAAAAUUAAUCUUUAUUUCAUCAUGUAUCAGUUAAACAACGCAUAAAUACAAAAAACACACCGUACAAAGACAGAAAAUAACAAAAUCCUACAAAUACGACGAAAUCACAACAACAAUUAAAGGAAUACUAAAAAUGUUGGUAUUACUUAUUUAACUAAAACAACAAUUCGUAUGAUUGAUUUCGGGUCAUAAUUGACCCUGAAUUACCCUCUUUGAUAUACAAGAAUAAGAAAGGUGGUGACGACAAAAGUUUUAAGGGAAGAGAAGAAAGAGAAAAAACAGGGGAACUUAAUUCUCUUCAAGUUAUUAGACCGCAUUUAUAGGUGUAUAAAUAUUUUAUUUGAAGGAAGUGUUUUUUAUAACAUUGAGAAUUGUUAGAUUUCGAUUAGAAAAAAAAUUGAGAGUCUUCGUGAGUUUAACUCAGUUGGUAGGAAUAAUGCAUAAUAGAUGCAAGGUCAUAAUAUAUGCAAGAUCUGAUAUUCAAACAUAGGUUGAGAAUUGUGAUUAACAUAGUUAAUAUGAUUACAAGUUUACAACAAUUACUAUUUUUUACAACAACUACUAUUUUUUUUAGGAGUAACUACUAUAUGAGAUUGAUUUAAGGGACGAGUGCAUUUUCUUUCAAUAAUAAUAAUAUGGACUAGUAUAUAUAUGUAUUUUUAUUUUUUAUUUUUGCUAAGGAGGGACGAGUAUAUUUCAAUUAUAUAUUACUUCAUUUGUCUCGUAGUAAAUGAUUUAGUUGAAUGUUUUAUUAUCGGCGGCGAUGAACAAUUUUGAUUUUUAAUAAUUUUAAUUAUCUAUUAGUAAAAGUUAUAAAAAAUAAAAAAUAAAAAUAAAAAUUGAUAUAUCAAAAAUAUUUACCGUGAUAAAUUCGACAACAUCUUAUACACUAACAUAAAAAUAUGAUCAUAAAUAAUAUGUAUGUGAAUAAUGCAUAAAGUAAAAUUGGGUCCUCCGGGAGGAGCAACAACCACGGCAGCUAUCAAAUUUAAUUUCAGAGAGAAGAAUAUAUGGUCAGGUCUUCCAUGCAACUUGCAAGUCAAUGCAACUUUUAUUUAAAUUAGCAAAAUACCAUGAAAAUUUGGAAGGGUUUUUAUUAUAAAUAACGAAACACCCUUACUCCAGGCCACAAGUCAGUCAGUACUCCAAUUUAAAAAUGAAGGUCCUGCAAGUAUUAAUAAUACUUGCUGCAUUAGCACAUUUGAUAGAAGCAGUUGCAUUUACACUUGCAUCUGAUCAACCUAAACAAGUCCUACCAGGCUGCAAUUACACCUGUGGAGGUGUAAAAGUUCCAUAUCCAUUUGGCAUAGGAAAUUCAACAGCACAAGAUCAUACACCAUGUUACAUAAAUUCCAAAUUUAUGCUCACUUGUACAGACAAUUCCAAAUUAAUUUAUGGUAAGAAUAUACAAGUCCUAGACAUAAAUCCCCAAGGUCAAAUGGAAAUGAGAUUUUUCGUCUCACAUCUCUGUACGAAUAGUAGUAGUAAUAGUAAUAAUAAUACCGAAAAAGCAAAUAAACCUUCUCUCAGAGUUUCUUCCCUCGCAAUUUCAAGCACAGACAACAAAUUCAUAACAGUUGGUUGUGACAGUUUCGGAUAUCUCAACAGUAAUUUCAAGGGUGCCACUUAUUCUACAGGAUGCUUAACAAGAUGUUAUGAUUUUGAUACUAAAAUGGUAAUUGGAAAUAACACUGGAAAGUGCACAGGUUUAGGUUGUUGUGAAGUUGAUAUUCCUCCACUUAUGAAAAAUAUCACCAUACAAGCAUUUAAAUUCUCACCUUCUACACUAUCUAUGGAAAAUUCUUGUAGCUAUUCCUUUAUUGCAAAACAAGGAUCCUAUAAUUUUUCUGUAGAACAUAUUAAGAAACUGCCUUAUAACACUUUCCCUAUGGUUGUUAAUUGGGUUGUUACAAAUGAAUCAUGUCGAAUAGCCCAAACUACAAAUAGCUAUGCCUGCAAGGAAAAUAGUGAAUGUGUUGAUAAAGAUUCAGAUUAUGACGGUUACAGAUGCAAGUGUUUGGCAGGUUUUGAAGGAAAUCCAUACGUUCCCGGAGGCUGUAGAGGUAACAAGUACAUAUCAUGAUUGUAAAUCACAGUUUUUCUUUUUCUUUUGUAGUUUAAUUAAUUGAUAAUGCUUCAUAUCUUCAAUGUUUUAUUGAAUUUGGUUUCUCUUAAUUAUGUGACUCGUUUUAAACUAGUGAUUUAGUGAUUCAUCGAAGUGAAUUGGGAUUCAUCAAUGUAUUAUGAUGAGAAUCAUACAAACUAGUGAUUUGACCGGCAAACAACCAUGCUUUUUAUUGUCUUUCAGACAUUAAUGAAUGUGCGACAUCAAAUCAUACAUGCCUAAGUGAAGCAAAUUGUAAUAACACUGUUGGGAGUUACAAUUGUUUCUGUCCGAACUCGCAAUUUGGAAAUGGAACAAGUUUAGGAGGAUGCAAACUACCUGAUCGAAAUACAUAUCAAAUAGUACCAACAACUGUCCUUGGUAAGCAACAAAACACACCUAAUUUUAAUUUAUGAUCAAUUUUUUAAAAUCUUAUGUAUUUUUAGUUAUAUAUAUGAUACUGAUAUUAGUUUGUGGAACAAUCCAAAAUUUGGGUUCAAUAUAUUUUGGAUGCAGGAGUAGGAGCAGUAUUUAUUGUUCUAUUUCUGUGCAUAAUUUCCUACUUAAUUUACCAAAAAAGGAAACUUGUCAAAUUGAAAGAGAAAUUCUUUAGGCAGAAUGGAGGUUCUAUUUUGGAACAUAAACUUCGUCAAAGGAAAGACUCGUCUCAAAUAACUCACAUUUUCGAAGAAAAUGAACUAAGGAAAGCCACUAACAAAUUUGAUGAGAGCUUAAUCAUAGGUAAAGGAGGUUUUGGUACAGUUUACAAAGGGGAACUUGAUGAUAAUAGAAUUGUUGCUAUCAAAAAGUCUAAAACAAUAGACAAAAGCCAAAUUGAACAAUUCAUUAAUGAGGUGGAUGUUGUCUCUCAAAUAAAUCACAGAAAUGUGGUCAAACUCUUAGGGUGUUGUCUAGAAACAGAAGUUCCUUUGUUGGUUUAUGAGUUUGUUAGCAAUGGUACUCUUUCUGAAUUUAUUCACACAAAAGGUAAGACGAAUGAUCCAACUUGGAAGACUCGUCUUAAGAUAGCCGCAGAGGUAGCUGAGGCUCUGUCAUAUCUACAUUCAUAUGCCUCAACACCCAUCAUCCAUAGAGAUGUCAAGAGUGAUAACAUUCUCUUAGAUGGAACCAACACCGCCAAAGUGUCGGAUUUUGGAGCUUCAAGAUUGGUUCCACUUGAUCAAACUGAAAUAGCCACAAUGGUGCAAGGAACUAUUGGCUACUUAGAUCCAGAGUAUAUGCAAACAAGUCAAUUAACUGAAAAAAGUGAUGUCUAUAGCUUUGGAGUAGUUCUUGUGGAGUUGCUGACGGGGGAGAAACCUUUUUGUUUUGGUAGGCCGGAAGAAAGAAGAAGUCUUGCUAUGCAUUUUCUAUCUUGCUUGAAAAAGGAUAAUGUAUUUGAAGUUAUUCAAGAUGGUUUGUGGAAUGAAGAAAACAAACAAGAGAUCAAGGAGGUGGCUGUUCUUGCGGCGAAGUGUUUGAGACUUAGAGGGGAAGAAAGACCAAGCAUGAAGGAAGUGGCUAUGGAAUUGGAGGGAAUGAGGUUAAUGAAUAAGCACUCUUGGAUCAAAGAUGACUCAAAUGUAGAGGAGAGUAGGUACUUGCUUCAUGAAUCAUCAUCUAGCAUUUAUGAACCUGGUGAUAGCAACAAACAUGGAGAUAUCGGAUAUGACAGCUUGAAAGAUCACGUACUGAUAACAUUGGAUGAUGGCAGAUGAUUGUUAGAAGACAAAAUGCAGUUCCAUUUCAUUACUUUAGGAGUUUUUGCAUACAAAUUUCAGUUUAUAUAUAAUUCUAAUGUAAUUUGUUUUAUAUAUUGUGUUGUGUGCAUGUAAUCCAGUUUUUAAUGAUUUUUUUAAGUGUAGAGACUGAGAUGGAAGUGUUCUUUAAUAAUAAGAAAUCACUGACCAAAUUUUACCGUAAAAAUCACAAUUAACACAUAAAUGAUCAUUAUUCUGAUUCAAUACAUAACCUCCCGUACAAGAUUGAUCAUUGGGUGAUAGCACACACCACCAAAUUAAGUUGUCUCUAGUUUGAACCUGGUAAAGAAGCAAACGUCACGCAAAGAGAGAUAUUUUUAAAGGAACAACCUUUAACCACAAAAGAUAAAUGUUAGUAAGGUGACCGUUAUCAUUAGUAACAUGGUCAUCUUCCUCCGUCAACUAGUGAUAGGCACUGCUCACCAUAUACCUAUUGGAAGAAUGAAACUUCCGCACCCACCUAUCAUCCUCAUCAACUUGCAAAACAACUUAUGUUAAUUUUGUAAACUUAGAGUUAGAGCUGUCAAGCCCUAAACGGGCCGGUCCUAGCAGGCUUCGGGCUUUAGCAGGUUGGGCCAAAAAGCCCGGUUGACAAAACGGGCUUGAAAUAUACUACCCGAACCCGGCCCUACACGGGCCGCGGGCUAAACGGGCCGGCCCGUAUUAAAAAUUAUAUUAUAUUAUAUUUUAAAAAAGUACUAUAAAACAUUGCUAUAAUUUUUUUAUAAAUAAUAUUUUUAAUAUGUUUAAAUAAUGUCUAGCACAAAAGUAAAUUGUAAACAUUUUCGUACAAACGUCGUAAACUAAAACGAUGAGGAAAAUGAUUUUAAAUAAAUUAGAUAUGUUAUGGUUAUAGAUGUUUAUAUAUUCAAUUUUUAAAACUAUAAAUAACGAAAUGAAUAAAUAUAAUUUUAUAUUACAUUUAUAUUUGUGUUAAUUCAUUGAAUUUUCACUUUUGUUUUUUACUUUGAUAAUCAACUAAGUAAAUAAUUAUUUGAAAAAUAUAUAUAAUUUAUAGAUUUUUUUUUGUUAUGCGGGCUAACGGGCUACCCGCGUCCCAUUCGGGCCAGCCCUAACGGGUACCGGGCUUUUAAGGGCCGGGCUAAAAAGCCCUAUUAAAAUUCGGGCUCAAUAUUUUAGGCCCAAGCCCUAUAUUUAUUCGGGCUAAACGGACCGGCCCGUUUUGACAGCUCUACUUAGAGUUUAUAAACAUAGAGGAAGAUAACGGUUUAUAAACUUAAAAGAAAAUAAUAUAUUUCAUCCGUUCCAAAUUAUAAGUUAUUUUGCAAAUAAACUAAGAAAUAUAAUUAAUUUUUUAUAGUUAAAUUUAUAAAUUACUUUACAAAAGUAUUACCCUCUUCGUUCCUUUAUAUUUGUUACUUUUGCAUAAAUUUUUUAUUUUUAGUUAAGUGUCAUUUUCAAAGUUUAAUACAUCAUUAAAUGUUGUUUUACCUAUAUUACCCUUAUAUAUUUAUUAUAGAGAGAAGUAUAUGAAAUGAGAUAUUAGAUGAUUAAGGUUGUUAUAGAAAAAAAAAAUUAUUUUAUCUAAAGUAGUAAAAGUAUUUGUUGUCUUGAUUUAUGUAAAAAGUUAAAAUGUGAUAAUUAAAAAGGAACCGAGGGAGUAUCAUUCAUGAGUGGUAUGUGAAAGUGAAGUCAAUAAAAUUAGUAUAAAUACAAUUUUCUAUGUCCGAAAAUAACCAAGUCAUUUACAAAAAAAAAAAAAAAAUCAAAAAAAAUUGACUCAUUUCACUUUUCAAUACAAUAUUAAUUAUUUUUUUCAAUUAUAACUUUAAUUAAUCAUACUUUCGUCACUAACAAUUCGAUACUACAAGAAACAUUGCCUUUUGCCAGGGCAAAAUCCCUGUCAAAAGGACAAAAUCCCUGGCAAACGGGACAUUUGUGAGGGAAAAAACGAGGGGCAGAUGGCCUGGCAAAAGCGCUCAUCGCAAACACUUUGUCAGGGGCUACACCCCUGGCAGAAAAACGAGGGGCUGAACCCCUGGCAAAACGCCACGCUUUCUCCCUGGCAGAACCCCUGGCAUGUUCCCUCACUUUCGUCUACAGCUUUCUGCACCGCUGACUACGACAGACGUCUGAUUGCGACUUUGACUGAAGUGACAAGUCACAGCAUGCAAAAAACCAGGGACAUGCGAGGGGUUUAACCCCUGGCAAAUGUCCUUAUUUUUUUUUUUUUAAAUAUUAUUUUUAUCAAAACGAAUUUUUUUAUUAAUUAAUAAAAUAUAUUUAUAUUAAUUUAAAAAUUGAUUUUUUUUAAAAUAUUUUUUGUAAUACAUUUAAAUGGUUAAAAAAUCAAUUUAAUUAAAAAAUAUAUAUUUAAAAAAAUUAAAAAAAAUUUUAAAACACAAUUAAAUGCAUAUAAAUAAAGUUUAAUCACACAAACACUAAUAAGUCUAAUUAAUAGGCAUGAAAUAGAAAGUGUACUUGCGAGGGGUUGACUGACUGAUGGAAGGUCAGAUCAGGUCAGCAAAAAACCAGGGACUUGCGAGGGGUUUAACCCCUGUGAAAUGGUAAAUUAUUUUUAUAAAAAAAAAAAAAAUUAUUUUUUAAAACCGAAUUUUUAAUAAAUAAUUAAAUGUUUUUAAAAUCAUUUUAAUUAAUAAAAUGUUUUUAAAAUUUUAAUUAAAACAAUUUAAAAAAAAACAGAUUUCUCUACAUUAAAUAAAGCAGUUUUAAAUUUUCCAAAAAUAACCUGUUUUCUCUUAAAUUAAAAAAAAAGUUUUAUUUUUAAAAAUAAAAAAAAAGACAGUAUACGUUUUAAAUCUUAUUGUUGGACCACAUUCAUAUAUACAAUUUAUUUCUCUUAUUUUAACCUUUUUGUCCAGUAAAUUGUUUUCUUUAAGAGGGUUAAUACAAUUUUAUUAUAUAUUAUUUUCUCAAAAUAGUUUUCAUUAAAUUUCAAAAAUAAUUAUGUUUAAAAAAUCUAAUGUUAACCGUAUGUAAAACUCGAAAAACAUCAUAUAUACAAGUAAUAAUAGCAUGUAUAACAGCAUGUAUAAUUUUUUCAAAAUAACAUCAUAAAAAACCAGACAAAUAUCUUAAAAUUUAUUAUAUCAACAACAUGUAUAACAUGAAUAGAAAAUUAUUAACUUUGGUGAAGCUUCAAGACCUGCAAUGCAAUUUUAGACCAGAUCCACAACUAAUGCAAGUUCAGCCGCUUGAGGCAGUUUAUUUUGACACUGAUGGUGAUAAAUUAGUAAAUAUAUAUAAGUAAAUAAGUGGUAAAGAAGGGGAACAUAAAAACAUAAUAAGUUUUUUUUGAGGGAACAUAAAUAAAAUAAAAAAUAAGUAAAGAGAGUUUAAUUUUGCCAAAUUAGUGAAGCUUGGAUGAAGGUGGAAAGAAACUGAUAAUAGUAUGAUAAAAUUGAAACACUAAAAAAUUUCUAAGUUAUGCAACACCGAUGUUAAUUUAUAGGACUAAAUAUAAGCCAGGAAUAAAACCAGGGGUUACCCCUCGUAAGUCAAAAUCCUAGCCUUCAUAGAUGUGUGAGUAGCUAUGGGCUGUGGCAGCUUUACUGAAUAUGUCAUAGCCUUGUCUUUUCUCAAAGUAAUAAAAUCACAAAAGCAGAGAUUCUCUGCAGAUUAAACAAAUGCGAGGGGUAUUUCCGUGUUUCUAGCCGUGGCUUUUUAAUGCAAAAGCUGAAUCAUGUCAGCGAGUUUGAAUUAUAUUUUCGCGGGCAAAAUAAACCAGGGGCAUGUGUACAUUUGUGAGGGGCACACCCCUGUUAAGUGGUAAGUGGUCCCGAAAUUCCCAAAAUCAAUUUGCCAAGGGUUUUCCUUGGUUUAGGCCCUGGGAAAUUUGCCAGGGGUUUCGUGCCCCUGUUAAAAUCUCUGACAAAUGAGCAUUUUUUUGUAGUAAUUCUACUUUACAUUUAUGAUAAUAAUGAAUGCAUCAAUACUAGACAAAAAUACUUAAAAUUAUUUUUUUUCUUCACUUAUGCAUUUUUUAUUAAUAUGUGUAAAAUGAACCAGAAGCUCAGUUAUAUUGAGUUAGACUGAGUAUAGGAUAUGAUAAGAAAAAAAAUCUUAAAUUUUAUUCAUAUUCUAAAUGGACUUAUAAUUUAAAAUAAUUUUUUUCAAAGUAACUUAUAAUUAAGACGAAGAUGGUAUAAUACAAUUUUAAGUAAAGGGUGGAAAAUAUAAUAAGGAUAUUUUAAAUAAAAUGUAUACCAACCAAUUGAUGAUUAUUAAUCAAGUUGAUAGUAACAACAUAUUGGUAGUAUUAACAUUAAAUAUUAAUCGAUCAUGCUAAUAUAUGUAUGUCCUUAUGUAUUUAUUGAAUUUGUGUAAUUAAAUAAAUAACUGAUUGUUUAUAUAUCUGGAUCAUGUUUAGGACACUUGUUAAGGAUUUAAAAAAAUAUAUAUAAAUUUAAUGUAUGAAAGUUGCUUUUUAAAGUUAUAAUGUAUUGAAUACAUAAAUCCCAAAAUAAAAUUUCUUAUUUAAAUUUCUUAAAAAGUUCCUUGGUGUUUCCCUAUAUAUAUUUACACACAUCAAGGAUAUUAAAUUUUAGUGUAAUCAUGUAAAAUUUGUAACUUCUAUUACUUUUUUUAAGGGGUAACUUUUUUUUUAUUUAUAUGAGAAAAAUGUAAAAAGAAAGGAAAAAAUAAAAGAAAAGAAAAACUAUGUCCUUGAAAAGAACACGCUUAAAAUAUCGCCUAGUAAAGCAUGUGAUAAACAUAAAAAGGAUAAACCAAUGUAACAAGAUGGUAUGAUCUAUUAGCUCUCAACUUAGCAAAGAUAUCACCGCAAGAGUUUCCUUCCCGAAGGAUAUGCUCAAUAGAAAUAAAUCAAUCCUUAGCAAGAUAAUUUUGGAUGAGUUCCAAGAGAUUUGCAUAAUGAUGAAACCUCGAGAUGUCCUUCAUCACCAACUGUACCAUAUGAAGAGAGUCGGAGAAACACAUAAGCUUUCUAUAACAUGUCUCCCAACAUAACUUUAGACCAGCCAAUAACGCUUAAAUCUAAACAUAUAAAAUAUUCGAGAUCCCCACGCUACCAAUUAUGGGGUAACUUAUGUUGCUUUAUAUUGAGGAGAAAAAAAAAGACAAUGUUGCACUGCUAAUAUACUUUUUUUUUGUCAAGUAACUUAGCGGCUAGAGAAAUUCACCUUCAAGGUAAAUAUGUGGAGUGUCUGAGGUUUAAACCUUAACCCUUCAUAUAAUAUGCAUUAUCCCUUAUCAAGUGAGCUAAGCUCACCGGGACAUUACACCACUAAUACUUAAUUAUAUAUAUUCUUUUAAAAAAAAAAAAUAAUAAUAUUGUAUUUGUACAAUCGUUUUGUAUAAAUUUUUGUUACAAUUUUCUUUCUUAUAUUCAUAAUAUAUUUGUAUUUUCUCUUUUUAUUGUUGUGGUUUUUGUAUUAAUAUCUACUUUUCUUUAUAAAUUUAUGGUUGUUUCAUAAGUUAUCAUAUGUGUUGUUAUAAAAAUUACACACCUUUUAAAGAAAUUAUUUUUUUAAUGGUUUAGAAAAACUUGAAAACAUGAAAAUCUCAUACUUUUCAACAUAAGUUUAUAUCUUAAAGCAAAAAUAUUCAAAGUCUUCGUCAAUACGUACAUACGACUUAGCUUUUUAUUUUUGCGAGUGGAUUCAAGGUUUUUUCUUUAAUUCUUUUUUAUAUGUAAAUGAACAGCAAUUUUACUUUAAUCGAACCUCAAAAUCGAGCUAACUAGAACCAAGAGGCAAAUAAAAUAAAAACCUUCAAAAAAAUAUUAAAGAAUAAUUAUAUUUUUGACAAAUUAAGAAAUAAUGAUUGAAUAAUGAUGAAAGCCACAAAUAAAAUAAAAAAAAUCAAACGAAUCGAUUGAAUUAUCAGAAAUAAUUUCACAAAACUAAUGGAAUAAAAUCAUUUUGCACAAUUUAUUUAUUAGCUUACGAUUAAAUUAAUAGUUCAACUUAUUCUUCUCACUUAAUAGUGACAACACAUCACAUUUAGCUAUCAUGAGAGAACAAAAUCAAUAUUCCUAGAUAUUACCCGUUGACUGAAAAAGAAUAUAUUAAGUCUUCGUCAAGCAUAAGUCAUACAUAAAUUUAAGGAUCCAAUUAAUAGUUCAACUUAAUCUUCUCACUAAGAAUGCCAAGUAGUGCCGUCUAGAUUGGGCCACAAAUAUAAAACUUUAUUUGUGUGGUGUGUGUGUUUUAAUCAAACUUUAGAGGAGGUGAAGGUAAUUGUCCCAUAAAAUUUUCUUUAAAGAAACCUAAUUAUCGAUUUCACUUUAUUAUGUGUACCAAAGUUGUAAUGUUUUGAGAGAAUAUGGGACCAAUCUAGAUAUGUCGGAGUUUUCUUUAACUUCAAAGAUGCAACAAAUGAAAAACAUGAAACCUCCUUUUAUCAUCUUCUUAUUCCCAUGAAAAACUGUCAUAUUUACAUUGAACAUUAACAUAUAAAAUAAAAUGAGAAAAGUAGACUAACAAACAUUUUUCUAUUUUGAAAAGAAUACACAUGGUCAAGUAAUUUUUUUUUUUUUUUUUUGCGGUGGCGGGAUUUGAACACUAAACCUUGCAUAUAUUAUGCAUUGUCUCUACCAACUAAGUUAAACUUACGAGAAUCGUGAUCAAGUAAUAUAUUACAACUUUGAGGGUAUUCUCAAAUAUUGUUAAAAAAAUAUAUAUAGUUGAUUUUUUUAAAUACCUUAAAAGAGUUUGAAACCAAACUUAAAAUCUAGUUUUGCUCUAGUGCAUAACUGAAUUUUUUUAAAUACCUUAUGAAAUUUUGUAAUUUCUAACUUUUUAAUUAAGAAAAGUGGACAAAGUUGCACUGCUUUUGCUUAAUUAUUAUUUUAAAAAUAAUUGGCUGGUUUAGAAAAAUUUGAAAACUUCAUCUUUUUGCAAAUAAUUUUAUAUCUUACAACAAAAAUAUUCUAAGUCCUCGUCAACCAUAACUUAGUCAUAAAAAAUAUUCUAAGUUUUCUAUAUUGCCACUUUUAAUUUUCAAGAAAGAAAAAAAGAGGCAGAUCAAUGUUCCUAAAUGUUACCUAUUGACUGCUGACUAAUAAGAGUGCCAAACAUACGUCCCAAAACUAGUCUCAGAUAAAGUUUAUAUCUUAAAUCAAAAGUCCCUCGUAAAAAAAAAACAUCUUAAAUAUCAACCACAUAACACUUCUUGAAUUAAACGUGUGUCACUAUCGAACAUGAUACGUGUCCAACACCGACACAUAUAAUUACACUGAAUUAUGUGAUUUUCUCAAAUUAUUAACUGUGUCGGUGUAUAGUAUCUGUGUCGUGUUUGUGUCUGUAUCCGUACUUAUUUUGUAAAGCAAAAAUAUUCAAAGUCUUCGUCAAGCAUGUACUAUUAACGUAAGAUUUGUGAAAUUGUUUAAAGAAAACCUAUACAAACAAAAUAUAAGAUUUUUCGUAUGUUUUUUCUCAGCUUAUUUUAUAAGUUCUCAAAAAUAACUUAUGAAAUCAGCUUAUAAUAUAUACAAAAAUAAUUUAACUUUAACUUUAGCUAUCUUCUGCUACAAAUUAAAAUAGCUUAUAUAAACUUAUACUUAAACACUUAUAAAAAAAGUUGAAAAUUAAAGUUUGUCUAAAAGGCUGAGAUUAAACAUCCAAAAACAAUGUGAGAAUUUGUGAUAUCUAGAAUCUGAAAUAAUUUCUGCAAUGGGGUUCUCUCUUGUAGAAGGGGAAAGGUGAGGAAAAGUAUGGACUUGGUAUUUUGAACAUGACUCUGAAAGGAAAAUGAUAUUUGUCUUUUGUGCAUUUUUUUCCAAAUUGUUUUCUUUGUACUGUUCCUAGAAAUUGCUUAGCAAAAGCAAAGAUAUGUUUUUUGUGAAAAUCCAUGUUAGUCUAUGGGAAAAUUUAGCAAGACUCAAUUUAUGUCCUGAGAAACAAUAAAAAUAAUUUUAGUCCUCAGAAAAAUAAACCAAAACAAGUCGAUGUUAUCUUUUUCUUUUUUACCGAACAGAGCUGUGGAUAAUUUCAACAACGACGGUAGAAUCACUCUCUCUUUAUAAGUAACAACAGUAAACGAAACACCGAAGUCACUUUCUAAAGGACUGUUCUCUUUCUCUUGUUAGUUUUGUGAAUGAAAGUGAUAAAGAUGAAGCAUGUGUAUGUGUUAGCCAUGGUGGUAGUACUGGUAGGAACAACAGUUGCAGCUGAUUCAGCAACAAAUACUUGCAGUCACACUUGUGGAGGUCAAGAAAUUCCAUAUCCAUUUGGCAUAGAUGACAACAACACCUCAUCAGAGUGUUUCUUGGGUCGUAGAUUAAUUCCGCUCACUUGCAAUGAAUCCAAAAUAUACGCCGGUGACAUGGAAGUGUUAAACAUAGACAUCUUCAAUGCUCAAAUCGAAGCGUCAUUUUACGUCUCUAAAUAUUGCGGUGUUCAUAAUUAUAAUAAACCUAGGCUUAACAGUGGUUCAUAUAUCAUUUCAAGCAAAGAAAACAAAUUUAUAACUGUUGGUAUUAACAGUUUCGGUUAUUUUAAUAGUUACCGUGGUGGUGAAAACAAGUAUUCAACUGGGUGUUUAACAAGAUCUUUUGGUCUUCCAAGAUUGAUUGAUAAUGAAACAUGUUCGGGUAUAGGGUGCUGCCAAGUUGAUAUUCCUCCUAAAAUGUGGAAUAUAAGCAUAGAAGCUUAUAAUUUCAACCAAAAUUCAUCACUAUAUUGUAGCUAUGCAUUUGUUGUCAAGAAUGGUAGCUAUACUUUUUCUACCAAUCAUUUAUCACCAAAAGGUUUUCGUUACGAGGAAUUACCUGUGGUUCUUGACUGGACCAUUGGUGAGGAAAACUGCAGUACAGCUUCUUCCAAGAAGAAUGGAGUCAACUAUGGGUGCAAGAACAAUAGUCAUUGUGAUGACAAGGACACAUAUUUUGGUUACCGAUGCCAUUGCAAUCAAGGUUUUGAAGGAAAUCCUUAUCAUCCCAAUGGCUGCACAGGUCAAUUUUUUUAUUCCAAUUUUGCCAAAUUUUUCGUUUGUUGAUCUUUACUAUGCUUUAGUUAAGGGUACUUCAGUCCAAACUUCAAUAGUUCAAUAAUAGUGUUGCCUGAUAUGGAUCCUUCUAACAGUAGACUGUUUUAUUUUUAGUAAAUUUUAUUAAAGUAAGUAUUAUUCGCUAUUGUUUAAAUUAUACAAUUCAUUUUUUACUCAAAAUAGGAAAAUUCUAUUUUUGACAAUUUUUUGGAGAAAUUAUAUUUGUACAACAAACAAUUUUAUGAUAACUAUUAAACAACUUUUUCAUACUCAGAUCAUCAUCAUGUAUCAUAUGCUUACUCUCUUUCUUCUUUUUUUCUCUGUCUCUAUUAUUGUUGACCAAUAGAGACAAAAAGAAAGUUUUCAAAAACAAUGGUAGCUGAUUAUUAGUUUUUCUUGUUACUAUUUCCAAUUCAUUUCUUUGUUCAUAAUAUUGGUUACUGAUCAUGGGCUACAUGAAGUGACUUAUGAUUUUUUCUUCUUCUAAUAUAUAGAACCACAUGGAGUAUUAACUAAGGCAAGUGUAUUAGUUUAAGAAAACAUUAAGGUGUUGUUUAUUACUAGUCCCAAAAUAUAGGAGCAUUUCACAAAAAGAAAGUUGGUUAUAGUAUUAAAUUUGUAUAUAAGUACUAUUGGUUUUACAAUUUUAUCCUUAAGAAAUAGAGUUAAUUUAUGUUUUCAACAUAAUAUUUAUUGUUGAUCGAAGAAAAAAAUGUAAAAUAAAUAAGGAUAUGUUGAUAAAAAAAAUAAUUAAUGUACUCAGAAAUAUCAAAAGGGUGUUAUAAAAAAGGGACAAAUUUUUUUCUCAUAGACACUGUAUUAAGUGAAGUCUCCUAUUAAGUGAAUUUGUCAAUCAGGAUGCACCGUAAAUAACCCGUUACUAUGCAUGAUUUGACACUUACGGUGAAAAAUAUCUAAAUCGAAAGAAGAUAGUGACCAUCAUCAAAAUUCUAUUUACUUUAAUGAUAUCACUGAUUGAAAAUAUGGUUACUUACGUAUCUUUUUUACAAGAGUUACUUACUUAUCUAUCAUACGGGCUUUUACAGACAUUAACGAAUGUGAAAAAGACCUAUUACAUGAUUGCAAAACUAAAGCAUAUUGUAACAACACCGAUGGGAAAUACAAUUGUUUCUGUCCAAAGGGGUAUUCCGGGAAUGGAACAAAGGAAGUAGGGUGCCAACUUGAUGAUGAAAAUGCAAAUUCAAUAGUACUACUGAUUGUCCUUGGUAAGCAACUAAGCAUACCCAAGAGAUUUUGCUUAAAUUCUUUUUGUUUUUUCAACUUUUUAAUUUUUUUUAUAAUCUUUACAUUCAUGUUCAUUCACUAUGAUGUUGAUAUUAGUUACUUCAGUGAACAAUUCAUUAUUUUUUUUAAUGAUAUAUUUUGCGUGCAGGAGUAGGAAUAACAUUUAUUCUUCUCUUUUUGGGAACAUUCUCGUACUUAAUGUACCAUAAGAGGAAAUUCAUCAAAAUGAAAGAGAAAUUCUUCGAACAGAAUGGUGGUUUGAUUUUGAAACAAAAACUCUCAACAAGAGAAGACUCCUCCUCUCAAACAAGACAAGACUCCUCAACUCAAAGUGCUAAAAUAUUCACACAAGAUCAGCUAAACAAGGCAACCAAAAACUUCGACGAGAAUUUAAUCAUUGGCAAAGGUGGUUUUGGUACCGUUUUCAAAGGACUUCUAGAUGAUAAAAGAAUCGUUGCUAUCAAAAAAUCAAAAAUAAUAGAUAGAAGCCAAAUCGAUCAAUUCAUUAAUGAGGUGGUUGUUCUCUCUCAAAUAAAUCAUAGGAAUGUUGUCAAACUCUUGGGGUGUUGUUUAGAGACAGAAGUUCCUUUGUUGGUUUAUGAAUUUGUUACCAAUGGCACCCUUUCUGGUUUUAUACACACACAAAGUAAUAAGGUGAAUAAUGAAACAUGGAAAACUCGUCUUAAGAUAGCCGCAGAGGUAGCUGAAGCUUUGUCAUAUCUACAUUCAUAUGCCUCAAUACCCAUCAUCCAUAGAGAUGUCAAGAGUGAUAACAUUCUCUUAGAUAGAACCAACACCGCCAAAGUAUCGGAUUUUGGAGCUUCAAGAUUGGUUCCACUUGAUCAAACUGAAAUAGCCACAAUGGUGCAAGGAACUAUUGGCUACUUAGAUCCAGAGUAUAUGCAAACAAGUCAAUUAACUGAAAAAAGUGAUGUCUAUAGCUUUGGAGUAGUUCUUGUAGAGUUGCUGACGGGGGAGAAACCUUUUUGUUUUGGUAGGCCGGAAGAAAGAAGAAGUCUUGCAAUGCAUUUACUAUCUUGAUUGAAAAAAGAUAAUGUAUUUGAAGUUAUUCAAGAUGGUUUGUGGAAUGAAGAAAACAAACAAGAGAUCAAGGAGGUGGCUGUUCUUGCGGCGAAGUGUUUGAGACUUAGAGGGGAAGAAAGACCAAGCAUGAAGGAAGUGGCUAUGGAAUUGGAGGGAAUGAGGUUAAUGAAUAAGCACUCUUGGAUCAAUGAUGACUCAAAUGUAGAGGAGAGUCGGUUCUUGCUUCAUGAAUCAUCAUCUAGCUUUUAUGAACCUGGUGAUAGCAUCACACAUGGAGAUAUCGGAUAUGACAGCUUGAAAGACCAUGUACUGAUAGCAUUGGAUGAUGG
rnacentral:lncRNA from 1 species